ensembl:snoRNA U3 Small nucleolar RNA U3
AAGGCUAUACUUUCAGGGAGCAUUUCUUUAAUUUAUUACUAGAAAAGUCUCCCUGAACCUGGAGAGCACCAGAAACCGGGAGGAGGAGGGGCAGCGCUCUCUCCGAACUUAAAGCUAGCGCUUGGUUUUGCUUUGGUGAGACUGCGUUUUGCCAUUGAUAAUGGUUCUCCUCUUCCUCCUGGGGAGUAAGAGGGAGAAGAUGCAUUCCGAAUGGU